GACGAACGCUGGCGGCGUGCUUAACACAUGCAAGUCGAGCGGAAAGGCCCUUCGGGGUACUCGAGCGGCGAACGGGUGAGUAACACGUGAGUAACCUGCCCCAGACUUUGGGAUAACCCUCGGAAACGGGGGCUAAUACCGGAUACGACACAGCUUCGCAUGGGGUCUGUGUGGAAAGUUUUUCGGUUUGGGAUGGGCUCGCGGCCUAUCAGCUUGUUGGUGGGGUGAUGGCCUACCAAGGCGACGACGGGUAGCCGGCCUGAGAGGGCGACCGGCACACUGGGACCGAGACACGGCCCAGACUCCUACGGGAGGCAGCAGUGGGGAAUAUUGCACAAUGGGCGGAAGCCUGAUGCAGCGACGCCGCGUGAGGGAUGACGGCCUUCGGGUUGUAAACCUCUUUCAGCAGGGACGAAGCGUAAGUGACGGUACCUGCAGAAGAAGCGCCGGCCAACUACGUG
rnacentral:rRNA from 1 species